CUUUUUGAGAAAGUCCUAAUCGCAUUUCAAAGAGAGAAAACUCACCAGCCAUGGCAGUCGCUUCUCGCAUCGCAUCCAAAUACAAAUUGACAGAAGAAGGAAAAUAGACCAACUCAAGUUCAUAAACUUUUAAGAGAAAUGGAAUCAAAGAGAAGAGGAUAGGAUCUGAGCAUCCUGAGUUUUUUCCUAAAAAUCGUGAGUUGGGUCGUCUCUCUUUC